GGCCGCGGUAUUCUGACCGUGCAAAGGUAGCGCAAUCACUUGUCUUUUAAAUGAAGACCUGUAUGAAUGGCAUGACGAGGGCUUUACUGUCUCCUCUUUUUGGUCCAUGAAAUUGAUCUUUCCGUGCAGAAGCGGGAAUACCAACAUAAGACGAGAAGACCCUGUGGAGCUUCAGACUCUAAGCAGCCCCCGUUAAUAAGCCUAGUUAAUGGUUUAUAACUUUGAACUACUGUCUUUGGUUGGGGCGACCGCGGAGAAUUACUAAACCUCCAUGUGGACCGAAAGAAUCUUUUAUAACUCAGGGCGGCAGCCCUAAGUAGCAGGAUUUCUGACCAGAAAUGAUCCGGCAGAGCCGAUCAACGAACCAAGUUACCCCAGGGAUAACAGCGCAAUCCCCUUUUAGAGCCCGUAUCGACAAGUCACUUAGUUUCGGGGUGUCAAACUACAGAUCCCUUUGCCUGACUUAUUCUAGCUAAAACAUGAUGCAAAAGGUACAAGGACGUAUCUCUGCUUUUCUAUGCUUCACUGGGUUGUUUCACUUCUCUUUCAGCUUUCCCUUGCGGUACUUUUUCUAUAGCUUCUAGUUCUUUUUCUAUCGCCUAUACUAAAGAGGAAAAAUGGUUUGUCUAGUAAAUAUAGUGCAUUAAGGGGUAUAGAUAAUUAAAGGUUAAAUUUAGGUCUUGAGCUAGCUGUUGAGCA
rnacentral:rRNA from 1 species